rfam:Vibrio sp. JCM 19236 DNA, contig00055.
GCUGAUAUAGCUCAGUCGGUAGAGCGCAUCCUUGGUAAGGAUGAGGUCCCCAGUUCAAAUCUGGGUAUCAGCA